rnacentral:rRNA from 1 species
AUUGAACGCUGGCGGCAUGCUUUACACAUGCAAGUCGAACGGUAACAGGGAGCUUGCUCCGCUGACGAGUGGCGAACGGGUGAGUAAUGCGUCGGAACGUGCCGAGUAGUGGGGGAUAACGCAUCGAAAGGUGUGCUAAUACCGCAUACGUACUGAGGUAGAAAGUGGGGGACCUUCGGGCCUCACGCUAUUCGAGCGGCCGACGUCUGAUUAGCUAGUUGGUGAGGUAAAGGCUCACCAAGGCGACGAUCAGUAGCGGGUCUGAGAGGAUGAUCCGCCACACUGGGACUGAGACACGGCCCAGACUCCUACGGGAGGCAGCAAUGGGGAAUUUUGGACAAUGGGCGCAAGCCUGAUCCAGCCAUGCCGCGUGUCUGAAGAAGGCCUUCGGGUUGUAAAGGACUUUUGUCCGGGAGCAAAUGCCUGGUGUUAAUAGCAUCGGGAGCUGAGAGUACCGGAAGAAUAAGCACCGGCUAACUACGUGCCAGCCGCCGCGGUAAUAC